UACGUAGGGGGCAAGCGUUGUCCGGAAUCAUUGGGCGUAAAGCGCGUGUAGGCGGUCCGGUAAGUCCGCUGUGAAAGUCGGGGGCUCAACCCUCGGAUGCCGGUGGAUACUGCCGGGCUAGAGGGUGGUAGAGGCGAGUGGAAUUCCUGGUGUAGCGGUGAAAUGCGCAGAUAUCAGGAGGAACACCAAUUGCGAAGGCAGCUCGCUGGGACGUUACUGACGCUGAGACGCGAAAGCGUGGGGAGCGAACAGG
rnacentral:rRNA from 1 species